UACGUAGGGGGCAAGCGUUGUCCGGAGUUACUGGGCGUAAAGCGCACGCAGGCGGUCGAUUAAGUUUGGAGUGACAGUUGGUGGCUUAACUGCCAAAGUGCUUUGAAAACUGAUCGACUUGAGGGCUUCAGAGGGACACGGAAUUCCGGGUGGAGUGGUGAAAUGCGUAGAGAUCCGGAGGAACACCGAAGGCGAAGGCAGUGUCCUGGGGAGUACCUGACGCUCAGGUGCGAAAGCCAGGGGAGCGAACGGGG
rnacentral:rRNA from 1 species